rnacentral:rRNA from 1 species
GCGAUAGCGCGGUGGUCCCACCUGACCCCAUGCCGAACUCAGAAGUGAAACGCCGUAGCGCCGAUGGUAGUGUGGGGUCUCCCCAUGUGAGAGUAGGGAACUGCCAGGC